AUUGAACGCUGGCGGCAUGCCUUACACAUGCAAGUCGAACGGCAGCACGGGUGCUUGCACCUGGUGGCGAGUGGCGAACGGGUGAGUAAUACAUCGGAACGUACCUUAUCGUGGGGGAUAACGCAGCGAAAGCUGUGCUAAUACCGCAUACGCCCUGAGGGGGAAAGCGGGGGAUCGCAAGACCUCGCGCGAUUAGAGCGGCCGAUGCCUGAUUAGCUUGUUGGUGGGGUAAAAGCCCACCAAGGCGACGAUCAGUAGCGGGUCUGAGAGGACGAUCAGCCACACUGGGACUGAGACACGGCCCAGACUCCUACGGGAGGCAGCAGUGGGGAAAUUUGGACAAUGGGGGCAACCCUGAUCCAGCAAUGCCGCGUGAGUGAAGAAGGCCUUCGGGUUGUAAAGCUCUUUUGUCAGGGAAGAAACACCGGCUCUAACACAGUCCGGGAAUGACGGUACCUGAAGAAUAAGCACCGGCUAACUACGUGCCAGCAGCCGCCGUAA
rnacentral:rRNA from 1 species